AUUGAACGCUGGCGGCAGGCCUAACACAUGCAAGUCGAACGAGUGGCGGACGGGUGAGUAAUGUCUGGGAAACUGCCCGAUGGAGGGGGAUAACUAGUGGAAACGGUAGCUAAUACCGCGUACGCUCGGCUGUGCCCAGAUGGGAUUAGCUUUUAGGUGAGGUAACGGCUCACCUAGGCGACGAUCCCUAGCUGGUCUGAGAGGAUGACCAGCCACACUGGAACUGAGACACGGUCCAGACUCCUACGGGAGGCAGCAGUGGGGAAUAUUGCACAAUGGGAGCAAGCCUGAUGCAGCCAUGCCGAGGGUAUGAAGAAGGCCUUCGGGUUGUAAAGUACUUUCAGCGGGGAGGCGUUACCCGCAGAAGAAGCACCGGCUAACUCCGUGCCAGCCGCCGCGGUAAUAC
rnacentral:rRNA from 1 species